UGAAACAGGGACAUUUGGCUAGUGUAUAAGGGAUCUUUAGUUAGUGUAAAGGGGACCUUCAGCAAAUGUUACAGGGAUCUUUGGCCAGUGUAACGGAGACCACCUUUGGCUAGUGUGGUGGGGACCUUAUCCUAGUGUAACAGCCCGGACCUUUAGCAAGUGUAACUGGAACCUACGGCUAGUGAAACAGGGACAUUUGGCUAGUGUAUAAGGGAUCUUUAGUUAGUGUAAAGGGGACCUUCAGCAAAUGUUACAGGGAUCUUUGGCCAGUGUAACGGAGACCACCUUUGGCUAGUGUGGUGGGGACCUUAUCCUAGUGUAACAGCCCGGACCUUUAGUAAGUAUAACUGUGACCUGUGGCUAGUGAAACGGGGACAUUUGGCUAGUGUAUAAGGGAUCUUUAGUUAGUGUAAAGGGGACUAUCAGCAAAUGUUACAGGGAUCUUUGGCCAGUGUAUAAGGGAUCUUUAGUUAGUGUAAAGGGGACCUUCAGCAAAUGUUACAGGGAUCUUUGGCUAGUGUAACACAGACCUUUAGGCUUUAGCUAGUGUAAUGGAGACGUUUACCUAGUAUAAUGGGGAAAAGUAGAUAAUUUAUUGAUAUGUCCAAGCUAUUAUAAAUGAUACCUUAGGGUACAGUAUAUGAUAACAGUAUAAAGGAUGCCAGUAUAAAAGGUUCUAUAAGCUAUUUUAGGACACCUUAACCUUUAGCAACUGAAGGUGAUGCUGCAAGUGUAACCAUACAACCUGCACUAUGAUCAACUACACACUGGUGUUUAUUUGGUCAGCAUGGCAGGAUUGUACUAUCAAAUGUAGACUACUAAUAUUGAUAUUGCCCACUACCCUUGUAAUAACCACAUAUUUGUUAAUCUUGCCACAAGUCCCAAACCUGCAAGAAUAAUCUCAUUUUAAUACAUUUCUACAGAAUUUUAACUUUUUUUAAAUCUACUAAUGUCUGGUUUGAUUAUUUACCAUAAUCUCACAUCGUGAUACUGUUUACCAUUUUUGUACAUGUAGUUUUCUUGUGCAUUUACCAGGGUCCAUGAACCUAGUAUACCUGCAAUUUAUAAACAUAUGGAGUUACAGAUCUGUGUUAAAUGUAGGAUAGAACACAAAUUAGAGAUUAUAGACGGGCAUUGAUACACAUUGAGCUGAAAAUGGUACAGAUUGACGAUAUUGACCAACAUCUUAAAAUGGUAUAACGUUUUGGCAGGGAGGACAUAUUUUGUCCGAGAUAGAUGUUUUGGUUGCGCAGACAUGUUCUAGUUGUUAGGGGACAUGGUAAGAGGUUUGGAGUUUAGUGUCAUCCUUUUACCAACAUUAUUAUUUAGUAUUUGAGAGGAAAACCUGCUCUGAGCAUUGGUACUGUCCUCCAAUAUUUUUUGUGCUUUAAUUACCUGUAGAAACUGUGCCCUAGUUUAAGAUAAGAUCAGUGCUAAAUUGCAAUCAAAUUACUUGUGAUGUUGAGCGGUAGAACUUGUGUACAUAAAUCAUGACUAUGUUUACAAAUUACAGGGUGCCCAGGUUAAAUGUUGUAUAAUUUGUAAUUUAUAGUGUUUAUAUACCAAAAGUACAUUUGUGUGUGACAAGUUUGUUGAGAGUAUCUUGUUGAUAGGCCUCAGUAUGAAAUGAAGUAUAAGCAUUCAUUGUCAAUAUGAAUGACACAUCUUUUUUGUUAUUGUAUAAGAGAAAAUAUAUUUAUCGUUGUAUCGCCGACAGUAUUCGUUUGUUGUGAAAAGAGUCUAGACUAUGAUGUAUUCUCUGACAGUACUUGAGUAUUUAAUGUUUAUUUUGGAGAUAUCCAGGCCAUGAUUAUUCACGGAGAGUAUUUUGUAUAUUGUGGAGCGAGUCGUUUAUCUUGGAUAGUCUUGACCACAAUGUACUUGUGGACAUUAUUUGUGAAUCGUGAAGUCUUGACCACAAUGUACUUGUGGACAUUAUUUGUGUAUCAUGAGGUCUUGACCACAAUGUACCUGUGGACAUUAUUUGUGUAUCAUGAGGUCUUGACCACAAUGUACUUGCAGACAAGUUUCAUUUAAAUGUGGCUCGAUCUCGAUAAACCUAUAAACCAUAUUUUUCUGGUGGAGAUUGUCUUACAUAAUCUUGGCUGGAAGGUAUCUGUUUGUGUUGAUGGAACUGUGUUAUACCUGGAACAGGAUCAUGAAAUGGUCUUAGACCCAAAUCAAAUUUCAAAUGUCACAAGAUAAAUAUUUCUGGUGGAAAUCGAUCUAAAUUUGAUGAAUACAUUUUUGUCCACAUGAUAUUGACCUCCAAAAUGAAACAAUUUUGGACCUGUCUAUAUCCUUUCAUGUUCCUGGUGCCUUGUAUGUGUAUUGCAAAUUUUAAUACUUCAGUUUAGAUAUCGAGAAAGAGCUAAUUUUUGUAUUAAGUUUAUUGAUGAAGAUUAAACAUGAACGGUAUGAUAUGUAUGUGAUGAAAGAAUGAAAUAAAGCCAUUGUUGUUCU